GGAAGUAAAAGUCGUAACAAGGUCUCCGUUGGUGAACCAGCGGAGGGAUCAUUACAGAGUUCUACAACUCCCAACCCCUGCGCACCGUACCCCAGUUUGUUCUCGUUGCCUCCUGGCGGCGGGCCCCCGGCGCCACCGCCGCGGGGCCCCCGCCAGCGGCGGCGAGCCCUCUGAACCUUUUUUUCGCAACCAGCCCGUCUGAGCAAAACAAACAAAUGAAUCAAAACUUUCAACAACGGAUCUCUUGGUUCUGGCAUCGAUGAAGAACGCAGCGAAAUGCGAUACGUAAUGUGAAUUGCAGAAUUCAGCGAACCAUCGAAUCUUUGAACGCACAUUGCGCCUGCCAGCAUUCUGGCAGGCAUGCCUGUCCGAGCGUCAUUUCCCCCCUCACGCGCCCCGUUGCGCGCUGGUGUUGGGGCUCCUCCGCCUGGCGGAGGGCCCUGAAAGCGAGUGGCGGGCCUGGCUGGUUGGCUCCGAGCGCAGUACCGAACGCACCGUUCCCCCUCUCGCUCGCGGGCCCCGCCGGCGCCCAGCCGUCAAAACCGCAGCGCGCCCCGCGCGCGCUGCACUUUUUACAAGGUUGACCUCGGAUCAGGUAGGACUACCCGCUGAACUUAAGCAUAUCAAUAAGCGGAGGA
rnacentral:rRNA from 1 species